CCUACGGGAGGCAGCAGUGGGGAAUAUUGGACAAUGGGGGGAACCCUGAUCCAGCCAUGCCGCGUGUGUGAAGAAGGCCCUCGGGUUGUAAAGCACUUUCAGUGAGGAAGAACGCCUGGUGGUUAAUACCCAUCAGGAAAGACAUCACUCACAGAAGAAGCACCGGCUACCUCCGUGCCAGCAGCCGCGGUAAUACGGAGGGUGCGAGCGUUAAUCGGAAUUACUGGGCGUAAAGCGCGCGUAGGUGGCUUGAUAAGCCGGUUGUGAAAGCCCCGGGCUCAACCUGGGAACGGCAUCCGGAACUGUCAAGCUAGAGUGCAGGAGAGGAGGGUAGAACUCCCGGUGUAGCGGUGAAAUGCGUAGAGAUCGGGAGGAAUACCAGUGGCGAAGGCGGCCUUCUGGACUGACACUGACACUGAGGUGCGAAAGCGUGGGUAGCAAACAGGAUUAGAUACCCUUGUAGUC
rnacentral:rRNA from 1 species